CUUCCAUCUGGAAGAAUCUGGAGACAGGUGCUGCAUGGCUGUCGUCAGCUCGUGUCGUGAGAUGUUGGGUUAAGUCCCGCAACGAGCGCAACCCUUGCCUUUAGUUGCCAGCAGUCGGCCGGCACUCUAAAGGGACUGCCGGUGUUAAACCGGAGGAAGGUGGGGAUGACGUCAAGUCCUCAUGGCCUUUAUGACCAGGGCUACACACGUACUACAAUGGCCGAUCAAAGGGCAGCGACACUGCGAGGUGAAGCCAAUCCCGUAAAAUCGGUCUCAGUCCGGAUUGGAGUCUGCAACUCGACUCCAUGAAGUUGGAAUCGCUAGUAAUCGUGGAUCAGCAUGCCACGGUGAAUACGUUCCCGGGGGCCUU
rnacentral:rRNA from 1 species